GACGAACGCUGGCGGCGUGCCUAAUACAUGCAAGUAGAACGCUGAAGGAGGAGCUUGCUUCUCUGGAUGAGUUGCGAACGGGUGAGUAACGCGUAGGUAACCUGCCUGGUAGCGGGGGAUAACUAUUGGAAACGAUAGCUAAUACCGCAUAAUAGCAGUUGUUGCAUGACAACUGUUUGAAAGGUGCAAUUGCACCACCACCAGAUGGACCUGCGUUGUAUUAGCUAGUUGGUGGGGUAACGGCUCACCAAGGCGACGAUACAUAGCCGACCUGAGAGGGUGAUCGGCCACACUGGGACUGAGACACGGCCCAGACUCCUACGGGAGGCAGCAGUAGGGAAUCUUCGGCAAUGGACGGAAGUCUGACCGAGCAACGCCGCGUGAGUGAAGAAGGUUUUCGGAUCGUAAAGCUCUGUUGUAAGAGAAGAACGAGUGUGAGAGUGGAAAGUUCACACUGUGACGGUAUCUUACCAGAAAGGGACGGCUAACUACGUG
rnacentral:rRNA from 1 species